AAUUAAUGAGCUUGAACAAGCAUAUACUUUGAAAGUAUAAGAUAGAAAACAAUUUUCUAUUAAUUU
rnacentral:tRNA from 1 species